rnacentral:rRNA from 1 species
AUAACGGUCCUAAGGUAGCGAAAUUCCUUGUCAGGUAAGUUCUGACCCGCACGAAUGGCGUAAUGAUUUGGGCACUGUCUCGACAGCCCGCCCGGCGAAAUUGUAGUACUGGUGAAGAUGCCAGUUACCCGCAACUAGACGGAAAGACCCCAUGGAGCUUUACUGCAGUUUAAUACUGGGAAUCGGUAAUGCAUGUACAGGAUAGGUGGGAGACUAGGAAGCAUGGUCGUCAGGUCAUGUGGAGUCACCGGUGGGAUACCACUCUUGUAUUGCUGAUUUCCUAACCUGCGGCCGUGAAUCCGGUCGGGGGACACUGUUAGACGGGCAGUUUGACUGGGGCGGUCGCCUCCAAAAGAGUAACGGAGGCGCUCAAAGGUUCGUUCAGCACGGACGGAAAUCGUGCAUUGAGUGUAAACGCAUAAACGAGCCUAACUGCGAGACCGACGGGUCGAGCAGUAACGAAAGUUGGAGUUAGUGAUCCGGUGGUAUGUGAGUGGAAAUGCCAUCGCUCAACGGAUAAAAGUUACCCUGGGGAUAACAGGCUGAUCUCCCCCAAGAGUCCACAUCGACGGGGAGGUUUGGCACCUCGAUGUCGGCUCAUCGCAUCCUGGGGCUGUAUUCGGUCCCAAGGGUUUGGCUGUUCGCCAAUUAAAGCGGCACGCGAGCUGGGUUCAGAACGUCGUGAGACAGUUCGGUCCCUAUCUGUUGCGGGCGUAAGAGAUUUGAAGGGAGCUGUCCUUAGUACGAGAGGACCGGGAUGGACUGACCGCUGGUGCACCAGUUGUUCUGCCAAGAGCAUAGCUGGGUAGCUACGUCGGGACGAGAUAAACGCUGAAGGCAUCUAAGCGUGAAACUCCCCCUAAGAUAAGAUCUCUCAUCCUUUAUGGAGUAAGGCUCGUCGUAGACUAUGACGUUGAUAGGUCAGAGGUGGAAGCGCCGUAAGGUGUGUAGCUGACUGAUACUAAUAAGCCGAGGGCUUGACCU